rnacentral:lncRNA from 1 species
GCAUUUAAAAUCAUUUAAAACAUUGAUUAGGGGUAUGAACUCACCUGUAGAUGGUGAUUCGGAUGAACCGGACGGUAUAGGAUUGCUAGGUGUCAAGCGAGGACUUGUACACACACUACGAUCCUAAUGAACAUAUAAUCACACAUAUAUGCACUCAAUUAGUCUCAAAUUACUAAUUGAUAAUGUUAAGACAUCCUAGACAUAAUAAACACUUUAUAUAAGUGUUUUAAGCCCUAAGGAUUGCAUCUAAGCUAUUGUGGGACAAGGCACUUGUGUUUAGGGUUCCAAAGGACCCCAUAUAUGAGUUUACUCCUCAUAUACCAACACACAUGGAGUUUACGGUUGUAAACUCUUGAGUUUAUGGCCGUAAACUCCCAACCAUGGGUGUAUUGUGUGUUUUGAAGUUCCAAAUGAUUCCUAGAAUUAUUCCAACUUCGUGGUUCAAUUCUUGAAAGGGUUUAAGGCCUAGAAACACUCCCUAGAGAAGUUUACGGCCCCAAGGCCAUUUCCUUUGCAGUUUACGGCCAUAAACUCCCUUGGAUGGUGUUUUUGUUGUAUUCAAGCCUGUUGCAUAUGAAGGAUAGGUUCUAGACAUUUGUUUAAAGCUAAUGAGGACCCUAGGAACACUUUGGUGCUCUUGUUUGGUGUUUACGGCCUAGGAGCAUUACCAGGGCCGUAAACUCACUUCAAGAGGUGAUUUUAAUGUGUUUUUUUUCCUUCAAUUAAGUGGGAAACAAUUCCAUGUAAAUGUCUAGGGCUUUAGGUGUCUUAAAAGCACCCUUUGGUCCAUUUUAUUGGAGUUUACGGCCUAAGAUACACUUGGGCCGUGAACUCCCAUGUAUUUGUGUUUCUUGAUUGUUUUCUUGUCCUAAAUACACAUACAAAUGAGUCUAAGGCAGUAGCAUAACACAAGGGACAAUCUAGGCUCGGUUUCGGGAGUUUACCGCCCAAGAACACCUUGGGGAGUAAACUCCUAAAUCUAAUGAUCUAGCCAUCUAAAUCAUGUUAUAAGCACAUAAUAAGAUUUCUAACACUACUAAAAAGAGUUACUCAAAUUUUGGUAUAAAAACCCAAAGAUCCGUGAGAGAGAAAAUGGCUUUUCUCUAGAUGGAAAUGUGAAUAAUGAAUGAAUUUGGUUCAGAAUUCUAUUUAUAGUCCUGAGAUAUUUUUGGAAGAAAAUAUUUUUAUUCCUGAAAUGACCUCUAAUAUAAUAGAAUGAUGGAAUAAUAGAGUUGCAGUAAACUCUAGUGCAUCCACUCACCUGAUAUGUCCUGAAGUGUAAACCCUGAAUUACUCAAACUUACACGAAAAAGUCUGAAAAUUAGUUGUGACUGCUAUAACUUGUAUUGAAGUGAUAUAGUUUGUACAUAAUGGAAAUUAUGUACAAACUAGAAUUUAAGCAAAUACAAAAUUACAAGUAACUAAUUGAAGAGGUGAGGGUAUUUCAGUUUCAUCUGAUCCUCACGUUCCCAAGUGAAUUGCGGUCCAUGCAUUGCGUUCCAGCGCACCUUCACUAUCGGGAUACGGCUCUGCUUUGUUUGCUUGACCUCUCGGUCCAUGAUCUCUACUGGUUCCUCCACGAAGUUGAGGCUCUCGUUGAUCUCGAUCUCGUCGAGUGGAAUAACAAGAGUCUCGUCGGAUAGACACUUUUUCAAGUUUGACACGUGGAAGGUAGGAUGUACGUUACUGAGUUCUUGCGGUAGAUUGAGCUUGUAAGCCACAGGGCCGAUUCUCGCGAGAAUCUCGAAAGGCCCUAUGUAUCUUGGAUUGAGCUUCCCACGCUUUCCAAAGCGUAUCAAGCCCUUCCAGGGUGAGACCUUCAGUAGGACUCGGUCGCCCACCUGGAACUCCAAUGGUUUCCUACGCUUGUCAGCGUAGCUUUUCUGUCGGUCUCUAGAGGCUUUUAAUCGUUCACGAAUUUGAACGAUCUUCUCUGUCGUUUCCCGAAUGAUCUCCGGACCCGUGAGAGUGCUUUCGGGAACUCGUCCCUUAGCUAACUGGGUAUCACCCACUUCAGCCCAACACAGAGGGGAUCUGCACUUUCGGCCAUAGAGGGCCUCGAAUGGAGCUGCCUUUAUGCUCGUAUGAUAACUGUUGUUGUAGGAAAAUUCAACAAGGGGUAAAUGGGUAUCCCAAGCUUUUCCAAAGUCAAUCACACAGGCACGCAACAUAUCUUCUAAGGUUUGGAUAGUUCUCUCACUUUGCCCGUCGGUCUGUGGAUGGUAGGCUGUACUCAUGUCCAGCCUAGUUCCUAGGGAACUUUGUAAUGACUACCAGAACCUCGAAGUGAAUAUACUAUCUCGGUCCGAGAUGAUAGAUAAAGGAACACCGUGCAGCCUUACAAUCUCCCUAAUGUAAGUUCUGGUAAGUUUCUCCGUCUUGUGUGUUUCUUUGAUCGGUAGGAAUUGUGCAGACUUGGUCAGUUUAUCGACGAUCACCCAUAUGGAAUGAAGUCCACCCGUCGUCUUGGGCAACUUGGUUAUGAAGUCCAUAGUGAUCCGUUCCUACUUCCAUUCUGGUAUCUUUGGUUGUUGUAGAAGACCGGAGGGUUUCUGGUAUUCGACCUUGACCUUUGCGCAAGUAAGGCAUUUACUCACGAAGGUAGCAAUAUCUGCUUUCAUGUUAGGCCACCAGUAUAAAUUCUUAAGAUCCAGAUACAUCUUAUCUGAACUUGGAUGGACGGAAUAACGAGUGUUGUGAGCUUCGGUCAUGACCAAGUCUCUGAAGCCACCGUGUUUCGGUGUCCAGAUCCGAUCCAUGAAGUACAAGGCUCCGCCACCCUUGGCUUCCAAGUUCUUAUCCAUCCCUCUAAGCGAUUCACCAGUCACAUUUUUAGGUUUCAAAGCAUCGAGCUGAGCUUUCUUUAUUUGCGUGGACAAGUGUGAAUGGAUAGUUAGAGUCAAAGAUUUGACUCUACGACCAGUAUAUUCUUUCCGACUUAGGGCGUCGGCUACUACAUUGGCUUUACCCGGAUGAUAACGAAUUUCUCACUCGUAAUCACUGGGUAGCUCGACCCACUGUCGUUGUCUCAUGUUGAGCUCCUUCUAGUCGAAAAUGUGUUGCAGACUCUUAUGGUAUGUAAAGAUCGUGCUUUUUGUACCGUACAGGUAAUGUCGCCAGAUCUUCAGAGCAAACACAACUGCUCCUAGUUCAAGAUCGUGGGUUGUGUAGUUAAGCUCAUGUGUCUUCAGCUGUCUCGAGGCAUAGGCGAUGACUUUACCUCGCUGCAUCAGAACACAUCCGAGUCCUUGAUUGGAUGCAUCGCAAUAGACAAUGAAGUCUUCUAUUCCUUCGGGAAGGGAUAGUAUCGGGGCGGUGCACAAGGCUCGUUUGAGCGUUUGGAACGCUCUUUCCUGUUUCUCUUCCCAGUCGAAGGCCACGCCUUUCUGGGUCAGGGUUGUAAGAGGUUUCGCUAUGCUGGAGAAGUUCUGAAUGAACCUGCGAUAGUAGCCAGCUAGACCUAGAAAUUGACGAAUUUCAGUAGGUGUCUUUGGUGCUGACCAGUUCUCGAUGGCCUUAAUUUUGGAAGGGUCCACGUGUAUACCUUCUUCGCUAACAACAUGGCCCAAAAAUUCGACUCGCCGAAUCCAAAAUUCGCACUUGGAGAACUUCGCGUAGAGCUUCUUCGAUCGCAAUGUUUCUAAGAUUUUACGGAGAUGUUGGCUAUGUUCCUCCUUACUUCGAGAGUAGAUGAGUAUGUCAUCAAUGAAGACGAUGACGAACUGAUCCAAGUAAGGACGACACACCCUAUUCAUCAGAUCCAUGAAUACUGCGGGCGCGUUAGUUAAUCCGAACGGCAUCACUACACACUCGUAGUGCCCAUAACGAGUUCGGAAGGCUGUUUUGGGAACAUCCUCCUCUAACACUCGUAGUUGGUGAUAUCCGGAUCGUAGAUCUAUCUUCGAGAAGUAAUUGGCUCCUAGAAGUUGAUCAAAGAAAUCGUCAAUACGGGGUAAAGGAUAACGAUUUUUAAUGGUAAUUUUGUUGAGUUCUCUAUAGUCGAUGCACAUGCGAAACGAUCCAUCCUUCUUCUUGACGAAGAAGACCGGUGCUCCCCAUGGUGAGAAGCUUGGUCAAAUGAAUGCCUUCUUGAGAAGUUUGUUAAGUUGACUGGAAAGUUCAUGCAUUUCGGCCGGUGCCAGACGAUAAGGAGAUUUGGCUACGGUGGUAGCCCCUGGCACUAAGUCGAUUCUGAACUCGACUUGGCAUUGCGGUGAUAAACUGGGAAGUUCUUAUGGGAAUAUGUCGGGGAAGUUGCGUACUUCUGGGAUGUUCUAAAUGUCUUUCAGUUCUUGACUGGUAUCGACGACGUGUGCGAGGAAUGCAUGGUACUCCUUCCGCAAGCACUUCUGAGCUUGAAUGCACGAAAUAAUGCGAAGGCUCGUACUAGGUUUGUCGCCGUAGAUAAUUAAGGUUUCGUUGUUAGGAAGGUUAAGAUGAACUGCUUUUUCGAAGCACAUAAUUUCGGUGCGAAGAAGACUCAACCAAUCCAUUCCGAUGAUAACGUCGAAACAUUUAAUUGGGACUGGCAUGAGAUCUAUCUUGAAAGUAUGGCUAUCUAAUGUUAAGGUACAACCUACGUAUAUGCAGUUUGUACUCUCUGUUUUCCCGUUAGCCAUUUCUACCGUGAAUGAAUUAUCUAAUGCACAUGGUUUUUGUUUAAGCGGGUGUGCAAAUUUGUGACUUACGAAACUUCUCUCUGCUCCACUGUCGAAAAGAAUGCAAGCAUAUGAGUUAUCGAGGAGGAACGUACCAGUAACUAUCGUAGGAUCAGCUACUGCUUCCUCGUGGACUAGGGCCAUAACUCUACCUACUCCUCCAGCCAUCCCUACUUUUGGGCAGUUCCUCUUGUAGUGGCCCACUUCACCACAACCGUAGCAAGCUUGGCCCAUACUGACAUUAGGAACCUGCACGGCUUGAGCUGUUAGAGCCUUGCAGUAACGGGCUGUAUGCCCCUUCCGGUUGCAGUUAGAGCACUGCAUCUCCUUGCAAGGUCCGUAGUGGUGGAAGCUGCAUUUGUUGCACUUCGGAAGAGUUCCAGCAUAAGUUUUUGCUGGUAAGGGGCUCGCACGGACAACAGGAGUCACUGUGGCAGCAUUGAUCGCCACAAGUUGUUGUUUAUUGGAGGACCGUUGCGAAGCCCCUCUUUUCCUCUUAUUCCACCCCUUCUUGUUGUAGUCGGGGUUGGACUUUUGUGGUAUGGAUGUAGGGAUUGUUGGGUUCUGAGGUUUCCGGUGAUCGAUGAGAGAUUAUGCCAGUUCCUUGGUGCUAUCGAAUGUAAUACGCCUGGAAGCGAUCACACUUGACUGGAUCUGGGGCGACAGUCCCCAGAUAUACCUCUCUAUCUUUUUGCUCUGGAGAGCAACCAUGUCAGGGCAUAAGUUCGCCAGAUCACAGAACCUAUUUUUGUAGGUCGUGAUGUCGGAUCCAACCAUUUUAAGACCCCAGCACUCCUGCUCGAGUUUUUGUACUUCGCCUCGAGGACAAUAUUCUUUCAUCAGCAUGUCCUUCAAUUUUUCCCAGCUGAUGGAAUACGCCACCACCAAAGUCAGAUAGUUAACAUGGCUGUUCCACCAUGUUAGUGCUGUGUCAGAGAAGGUACAAGCNAGCUGCAAACUUGACCUUGCUGCCCUCCUGGCAAGCACAGAUUUCAAAGACGGAUUCCAUCUUUUCAAUCCAUUGUCUCAACACCAUAACACCCCCAGUUCCAUUGAAGCUGCGGGGUUUGGCGUUAGUGAAGUCCUUGUAGGUGCAUUCCCGAGGGUGUCCAUGGCUUUCGCCGUGGUUCGAGGGUGGUGCACCUGUUCCUGAUCCACUAGGGGCAGGAGCGUUGAUUGCUGACACAGCAGCUGCAACUGCUGCUGUGAAAGCUACCUAGAACAUGUUGGCAUCGAAAGGAUUUGUUGGUCGAAGAGGUGGUGCUAUCGGUGUCUCGUUGUUUGGGUUACGCCUUGGAUUCCUGUGUGGCGGCAUCUUUAACUAUAUGUUUAAAAGAUGACGACAUGGAUAAGAAUAAAUGAUUAAUGAAUGUGUCUCAUGGACUAACUCCCCGUAGCCCAACAAUAGAAGGAAUUGUAUGACUAAAUGAAGAAGAUAGCAUUUGGAUAAUAAUUUCCUUAAGAUUAGAUAUCUGUCAAUAAUACUGGAAUUACAGAUGUAACAAGUUCGGGAAAAAUGGCCUAGAAGUAGGCCUUACAUCAACCAAGAUGGAAAAUUUUGAUAGAAUUAAGACUAGAUCAAGACCUAACAGGUCUAAGAUUUAUACAGAUAGGAAAUUAGACCAAAGUUUUACAUAAACUAGGUUAUAUCCAAAAGAUGAGUCGACGAUAUUCUAUCGGCGACGAGAACUGCUAGUAUGAGUCCUCGAUCCCGACAGUAGACGUUCAAUGUCCCUUAUACGCCUGUGCGACCUUGCUUGUUGAGCUCGAAGUUCUCUAACUUCAGCUCGGGUUUCAACAAGUUCCCUCUGCAGAUUUGCAUUGCGGACCAGAGUCCUUUCAUGAGCAGAAUCCAGUUGGCGAAUGUGAACAGUGUUAACACCAGAGUUUNGAGCCAUUAUCAUGUUUCGAGAAAUCCUACGCACCAUAAUUGGUAGAACUAUAUCAGCAGAACCUCCUUCGGUGAGGUUGUAGAAACUGCGGUCUCCAUUGUAGGGAAUGGGCUGACCUUGUUCCUGGCUCCAUGUAUUCAAGUUCGUGGCCUACAGGGGUGUGGGUCCUUGAAACACAGGGCGGGGGUUCAGGUUUGGGUUUUGAGCACCUGGGGGUAGGUUGUUGACUUCGAGCUCUGAGUCAGAACUAUCGGAAAAACCCUCAACAUCGUGAUCAUCCAAAGGGAUUGGGUGAUCAUCUUCUGGUUCUGCCUCUAGCCAAUCAACAUUGCCUUGGUUUGGGAAGUACAGGUCGCCAUGGUGAAAUCCAGCCAUUUUAAUCUACGCGAGAAAAGGGAUAUAAGAAAUAGCUAAAUAGAUGAACCGACUAAGAUAAUUAUAGUAAGACCAAAUACCCCUAUGGUAUUUCUUUAUGGUUGUCUUGGUAAGUUUUUAGACUUGUUGCCAUAUCAAAACCAUUAUUGGGCAUAUGUUAAUCGCUCCUUGGACCAGCAUAGUUGAUCAGGCUAUGCCAUUCCCAAGACUCACCAUAUAUCCCCAGGAUUACUUGUGAUAUUCAACAAUUGUAAUACUUUUGUUCUUGUCAUUGUGACACUGAUUUUAGUAUGAAUGCAGGCACGUAUACUUACUUAAAUAUUUUAUUAUUUAAAAGUAUAACUCUUAGACAGAGUGUUUUAAUCCCUAUGUAUUUAUAGUUAGUAUAUCUUUUAUGGGUUGAUAUACUAUAUUCACUAUAAACAAUGCUCUGAUACCAAUCUGUCACACCCCAAAACCACGAACGGCGGAAACGUUCAGGGGUGGAGGACGUCAUGUACAGUAUCACAACAGUGUAAUAUAAUAAACAAGCAACAACAUCAUCCAUUGCAUUAUAAGUAAAGUUUUAAUACAUGUGUGUUCUUUCAUUGUAAUAAGACACCAAAAAUAUACAAUCAAAAUAAAAGACGAGACUUGUCUGCUCCGUCUUCUCAAAACCUGGCCAUCGUACCUGUCUACUGUUGACCUGAGAAUACAAGUUAUUUUGAAAGAGAGUAUCAGCUUUAAAGCUGGUGAAUUCAUAAGUAUUUAAGUGUCGUUGUCUUGCUUACUAAAAGUUGUUUUAAAAGUCAUGUAAACCUUUAAAUGAAAAUGAUGAUGUAAGUAUGAAAAGCCCUAGAAAAUCCCUUAUUUUCUAUCAGUUUGAGAUGUAGUCUUCUACCAAGACCCGAAUGUUUUGUUAUGACAAUGUAGUCUUCUACCAAGACCCGAAUGUUUUGUUAUGACUAUGUAGUCUUCUACCAAGACUCGAAUGUUUUGUUAUGACUAUGAUAGUUUUUCCUUUGAUUGUUUAGUACUAAAGUACUUACUGUAACUCAUCGUUUAUGUGAAAGUAUCACAAAAUAAAGUAAAGAGGAAAAAGUACUAAUGUAAGUGUUAUCCCGAGGUACCAGGGCUAACACGCCAUAUAUAACCUAAUGAACAUCCGAAGAUUGUCCAAUUGUCCUCUGUAGCAGCAGCAGGGCGGAGGAAGGGUUAGUCCCUGUAAAGGUACUCCUAGUAUAAGUAAUAACCUAAUGAUCAUCCGAAGAUUUUCAUCUCAUCCUCUGUUGCAACAGCAGGAUGGAGGAAUGGUUAGUUCCGAUAUCGAUCUAUCUAUGAUAAGUGAUAACCGUUGACAUCCGUAUAUGUUCAUCACCCACUGUUGCUAACAGCUGGGUUCCGGAAUGGUUAGUCCCGUCCAUAUAUUCCAGGGUACUGGGAUAGAGUCCCGACUAGAUAUCCCGAGGUACUAGGGAUAUGCAGGAAGAUUUACACAGAAGGUACUAAUAAAUCAUCCUCAUAAUUCGUGAUACAAGUAUUCAUGUUAAUAUACAGAGGUAAAUGUAUCUAUGUAAAGGUACUCAUGUAAUGCGUUCAUGUAAGCGUGAUCAUGUAUCAUGUAAGUAUAUGUAAACGUACUCAGGUAUCAUGUACUCAACUGUAAAUGUACUCAUGUAUCAGGUAAUGUACUGGUAUAGACUCAUUAAUGAACUGACUCUUGUGUGAUUCCUUGUAAUAGGAAUUAUGUUUGAUAUCUUCAAAUUAUCCCUAUGAUAAUUUACUGAAUGGUAAUUAACUGUUCAAGUAGGUUUAUACACUCUUACUACUCAAGGGUGUGAAAGACUAAAUGAAAGAAGUAAACUAUAACAUCAAUACAUAUAUAAGAAUAUAAGUGUAUAUGGAUAGUUUAGUUCAAGAAUGUAAAAUGGUUUUGUAAGACAUCUUAUGGGUUUUGAGCAAUAAUUAACAAUGACUUGAUGUCAUUUUAAUCAGACAUUUCAAAGGUAAAACAUUUGAUAACAAAUUAUUUUUAAGAUUUAAAACCAUUUCAUGCAUCACAUUUUGUAGUAUGUGAAAUCUGUUAAAUGACAAACACAGUUAUAAAGUACAUAUCAAUGAUUUAAUAACAUGUUUGUUUCUAAUUGUAUUUCCCCCCGCCCAUUUAAGCAUUUAAAAUCAUUUAAAGCAUUGAUUAGGGGUAUGAACUCACCUGUAGAUGGUGAUUCGGAUGAACCGGGCGGUAUAGGAUUGCUAGGUGUCAAGCAAGGACUAGUACAAACACUACGAUCCUAAUGAAGAUAUAAUCACACAUAUAUGCACUCAAUUAGUCUCAAAUCACUAAUUGAUAAUGUUAAGACAUCCUAGACAUAAUAAACACUUUGUAUAAGUGUUUUAAGCCCUAAGGAUUGCAUCUAAGCUAUUGUCGGACAAGGCACUUGUGUUUAGGGUUCCAAAGGAUCCCAUAUAUGAGUUUACUCCUCAUAUACCAACACACAUGGAGUUUACGGUUGUAACUCUUGAGUUUACGGCCGUAAACUCCCAACCAUGGGUGUAUUGUGUGUUUUCAAGUUCCAAAUGAUUCCUAGAAUUAUUCCAACUUGGUGGUUCAAUUCUUGAAAGGGUUCAAGGCCUAGAAACACUCCCUAGAGGAGUUUACAGCCCCAAGGCCAUUUUCUUUGGAGUUUACGGUUGUAAACUCCCUUGGAAUGGUGCUUUUUUUUUCAAGACUCUUGCAUAUGAAGGAUAGGUUCUAGACAUUUGUUUAAAGCUAAUGAGGACCCUAGGCACACUUUGGUGCCCUUAUUUGGUGUGUACGGCCUAGGAGCAUUACCACAGCCGUAAACUCACUUCAAGAGGUGAUUUUGAUGUGUUUUUGUCCUUCAAUUAAGUGGGAAACAAUUCCAUGUAAAUGUCUAGGGCUUUAGGUGUCUUAAAAGCACCCUUUGGUCCAUUUUAUUGGAGUUUACGGCCUAAGAUACACUUGGGCCGUGAACUCCCAUGUAUUUGUGUUUCUUGAUUGUUUUCUUGUCCUAAAUACACAUACAAAUGAGUCUA